rnacentral:rRNA from 1 species
CGCGCAGGCGGCUCUGAAAGUCAGAUGUGAAAGCCCCGGGCUUAACCUGGGAAUUGCAUUUGAUACUCUGGAGCUUGAGUACGGGAGAGGAGAGUGGAAUUCCCAGUGUAGAGGUGAAAUUCGUAGAUAUUGGGAAGAACACCGGUGGCGAAGGCGGCUCUCUGGACCGUAACUGACGCUGAGGCGCGAAAGCGUGGGGAGCAAACAGGAUUAGAUACCCUGGUAGUCCACGCCGUAAACGAUGUGCGCUAGACGUUGGAAGGCUUAGCCUUCCGGUGUCGCAGCUAACGCGAUAAGCGCACCGCCUGGGGAUACGGCCGCAAGGUUAAA